AUGGAAAUAGACAGUACACGGAUCUGGAAUGGAAGCAAAUAAUAACCGGGUCUCCAGAUUCCAUCGUAUCACAGAACAUAGAACCAAGAAAGUACCUUAGAAGUCAUCUGAUCCAGUCACCCCUGUUUUACCAAUGAGGAAUCUAGACCCAGAAGAAGUUAAAGGACUUACCCAAGAGUACCCAACAACUCUCUCACCACCCCAGGCUCCCAUCUUUGUGUCUCUCCUGUGUGAGCUGUUCCCUGAAGUUCUUCCUGAACUUGCACAUUGCCUUUCCCUUUGAUUUUAAAUCCUUGGCUCAAAUGACAUGCCCGGACUAUAUCGUGUGAUAUGAGCUUGAAAAGUAAUUUACGUACAAGUCUUGAAAGCAAAUCAAGUUUUAAAACAAAGUAGCAUCUACUCUGCCCCAGCCUUGACAUCUUAUUACAUAGCAAAUGCUGGCUUUUUAAUUUCCCUAAUCAAGACUGGUCCUAUUUAGCCCACCUCCUCAAGGGGUCCCAGCACUAGCCCCACUCCGACGCCUGAUGAAGUUCCAGAACAGUGGAAUCAAGCACAGAGAUGGGCACGCCUCUUUACAGAACCAAAGAUUCAGAACUGUGCCUUACCCUUUGCUUAUGAGGCGGAGGAGGAGGAAGAGAAAGAACCACCGCAAAGAGAGAUGGCAACAAAGGUAAAAUGAAGGCCGGGCAGCCGAUCCCACUCAGGCUGACCACAGUGAGGGAGCAGCAUUAAAAUGAGAAAGGAUCAGGUCUCGAAGCCCAGCCCUUCCCGCUGAAUCUCGUCCUUUGCUUCAUCCAUUCCAUUAAAUAAGUCAUAUUGAAAAUAAAUUAUUAUUAAUACAACAGUA
rnacentral:lncRNA from 1 species